rnacentral:rRNA from 1 species
AUUGAACGCUGGCGGCAUGCUUUACACAUGCAAGUCGAACGGCAGCGCGGGCUUCGGCCUGGCGGCGAGUGGCGAACGGGUGAGUAAUACAUCGGAACGUGCCCAGGAGUGGGGGAUAGCUCGGCGAAAGCCGGAUUAAUACCGCAUACGACCUGAGGGUGAAAGCGGGGGAUCUUCGGACCUCGCGCUAUUGGAGCGGCCGAUGGCAGAUUAGCUAGUUGGUGGGGUAAGGGCCUACCAAGGCGACGAUCUGUAGCUGGUCUGAGAGGACGACCAGCCACACUGGGACUGAGACACGGCCCAGACUCCUACGGGAGGCAGCAGUGGGGAAUUUUGGACAAUGGGCGAAAGCCUGAUCCAGCAAUGCCGCGUGUGUGAUGAAGGCCUUCGGGUUGUAAAGCACUUUUGGCGGGAACGAAAAGGACUGUGCCAAUACCACGGUUCGAUGACGGUACCCGCAGAAUAAGCACCGGCUAACUACGUGCCAGCCGCCGCGGUAA